AGCAGAUCUGCAUAACCGCUCGCUCUCACUCACUGUCGUCUCACUGCCUAACUGCCACACAGCCCAACUGCCAGAGAUUUGCAAUUACAAAAUUAUUCACUUCCAAAUCCUGCGUACAAGCACCGGAAGCUGUCACAGAUUUUGCUCUUCCCAAAUACAAGUAGCCAGGUGCCAUCCAGAAGUCACAACCUGGCAUCACAGAAGCUUCCAUUGGUAGCCUGAUGGCCAACCAUUUGCGCGCUGCGCCGGACAGAAGAGGGGGCACUGGGCGCCGGAAGGCACUUGAGAGCUCUGGAAGUGUGAAUCCAUAGCGGCCCCACUAUAUUACAAAAAA